CUACGGGAUGUGCAGUGGGGAAUAUUGGACAAUGGGGGAAACCCUGAUCCAGCAAUGCCGCGUGUGUGAAGAAGGCCUGCGGGUUGUAAAGCACUUUCGGUUGGGAGGACUGCUUCUAGCACUAAUAUUGUUGGAAGUUGACGUUACCUUCAGAAGAAGCACCGGCUAACUCCGUGCCAGCAGCCGCGGUAAUACGGAGGGUGCAAGCGGUAAUCGGAAUUACUGGGCGUAAAGCGCGCGUAGGCGGCUAGAUCAGUCGGGUGUGAAAGCCCCGGGCUUAACCUGGGAACUGCAUCCGAUACUGUCUAGCUUGAGUACAGGAGAGGAGAGUGGAAUUCCACAUGUAGCGGUGAGAUGCGUAGAUAUGUGGAGGAACACCAAUGGCGAAGGCAGCUCUCUGGCCUGAUACUGACGCUGAGGUGCGAAAGCGUGGGGAGCAAACAGGAUUAGAUACCCGUGUAGUC
rnacentral:rRNA from 1 species